UACGUAGGGUGCGAGCGUUAAUCGGAAUUACUGGGCGUAAAGUGUGCGCAGGUGGCUUCGCAAGUCGAGUGUGAAAGCCCCGGGCUUAACCUGGGAAUUGCGCUCGAAACUACGGAGCUGGAGUAUGGCAGAGGGAGGUGGAAUUCCACGUGUAGCGGUGAAAUGCGUAGAGAUGUGGAGGAACACCAAUGGCGAAGGCAGCCUCCUGGGCCAAUACUGACACUCAUGCACGAAAGCGUGGGGAGCAAAC
rnacentral:rRNA from 1 species